rnacentral:tRNA from 1 species
AGAAAUUUAGGUUACAUAAAAACCAAGAGCCUUCAAAGCCCUAAACAGGGAUUACUCCCCUAAUUUCUG